GUGGGCCUACCUGUUCUUUAUAGCCUGGUGGCUGCUGACCGUGGUCAUUGUUCUCAACCUGUUCACAGCUCUAAUCCUGGAGAACUUCAUCAUGAAAUGGGACAAGAUCCUGCACACCUCCCGUGAUCGCUCCGAAUCCGGACAAGUUGAAGAGGCCAGUCACCUCAUGUCUGUACACGAAAUGUUCCGUGGUCUGCUACAAGAACCAGCUGAGAAUGAACUCCUUGUGGAGCUGACCUCUCACAGAUAUCUCCAGCUGGACAGAUGACAACCAGCAGGUGAUGCUUCUGAAGGCAUGUCGGCAGUAGCGCCAACACCCAGAACAUCACCACAACGUCAUAUAUCAGAGUCAAGGCCUAUCUGACAGUGAGUGGACCACCCCAGUGGAUCCCCCUACAGAUACCCACCGUAAGGAUAUCUGUCUUGGUUAUGCAUUAACAAAUUGGAAAUUCAGAAAUAAUGUGCAAUAUUAAUUUUGUUGUAACAGAAAUUCUUUGUGCAUGUGUUCAAAACACUUGCAUUGUCUUAUAAUAUGUUUAUUAGAUUCAUAAUGUUAAAUGUUUUAUGUUGCCUUUUUGUUUUAUUUCUUUCCUUUUAUUCCAUUUUUGUCAUAAUUUGUUGACCCUUGAUUUAAGCUUCAUGCACCUUACAACUGUGUCAUUUUACGUCUAAAUUACAGAGGAUAUUUUAUCACUGAUGUGAGGACUUUUAAAGACC